rnacentral:rRNA from 1 species
UACGUAGGGUGCGAGCGUUAAUCGGAAUUACUGGGCGUAAAGCGUGCGCAGGCGGUCUGUUAAGACCGAUGUGAAAUCCCCGGGGCUUAACCUGGGAAUGGCAUUGGUGACUGCACGGCUAGAGUGUGUCAGAGGGGGGUAGAAUUCCACGUGUAGCAGUGAAAUGCGUAGAGAUGUGGAGGAAUACCGAUGGCGAAGGCAGCCCCCUGGGAUAACACUGACGCUCAUGCACGAAAGCGUGGGGGAGCAAACAGG